rnacentral:rRNA from 1 species
CUACGUGCCAGCAGCCGCGGUAAUACGUAGGUCUCAAGCGUUAUCCGGAUUUACUGGGCGUAAAGUGUCCGUAGUCUGAUCUGUAAGUCUGUUUUUAAAUCCUACGACUCAAUCGUAGAAAGGGAAUGGAUACUGCAGAUCUAGAAGUAUCUAGGGGUUAGUGGAAUUUCCGGUGGAGCGGUGAAAUGCAUUGAUAUCGGAAGGAACGCCGAAAGCGAAAGCAGCUAACUAUAGAAUACUUGACGAUGAGGGACGACAGUUUGGGGAGCAAACAGGAUUAGAUACCCUGGUAGUCCAAACCGUAAAUUAUGCUUGCUAGAUGUUUUUAUCAGUUUACUGGUAGGAGUGUCGUAAUCUAACGAGUUAAGCAAGCCGCCUGGGUAGUAUAUUCGCAAGAAUGAAACUCAAAGGGAUAGGCGGGGGAACACACAAGCAGUGGAUUAUCUAGAUUAAUUGGAUAAUAAGCCAAGAAUCUUACCUAGGAUUGACAU